GACGAACGCUGGCGGCGUGCCUAAUACAUGCAAGUCGAGCGAAUGGAUUAAGAGCUUGCUCUUAUGAAGUUAGCGGCGGACGGGUGAGUAACACGUGGGUAACCUGCCCAUAAGACUGGGAUAACUCCGGGAAACCGGGGCUAAUACCGGAUAACAUUUUGAACCGCAUGGUUCGAAAUUGAAAGGCGGCUUCGGCUGUCACUUAUGGAUGGACCCGCGUCGCAUUAGCUAGUUGGUGAGGUAACGGCUCACCAAGGCAACGAUGCGUAGCCGACCUGAGAGGGUGAUCGGCCACACUUGGACUGAGACACGGCCCAGACUCCUACGGGAGGCAGCAGUAGGGAAUCUUCCGCAAUGGACGAAAGUCUGACGGAGCAACGCCGCGUGAGUGAUGAAGGCUUUCGGGUCGUAAAACUCUGUUGUUAGGAAAGAACAAGUGCUAGUUGAAUAAGCUGACACCUUGACGGUACCUAACCAGAAAGCCACGGCUAACUACGUGCCAGCCGCCGCAGUAA
rnacentral:rRNA from 1 species